rnacentral:rRNA from 1 species
ACGAUGAAGCACCAGCUUGCUGGUGUGGAUUAGUGGCGAACGGGUGAGUAACACGUGAGUAACCUGCCCCUCACUCUGGGAUAAGCCUGGGAAACUGGGUCUAAUACUGGAUACGACCGAUCUCCGCAUGGAGUGUUGGUGGAAAGUUUUUGUGGUGGGGGAUGGACUCGCGGCCUAUCAGCUUGUUGGUGGGGUAAUGGCCUACCAAGGCGACGACGGGUAGCCGGCCUGAGAGGGCGACCGGCCACACUGGGACUGAGACACGGCCCAGACUCCUACGGGAGGCAGCAGUGGGGAAUAUUGCACAAUGGGCGAAAGCCUGAUGCAGCGACGCCGCGUGAGGGAUGACGGCCUUCGGGUUGUAAACCUCUUUCACCAGGGACGAAGCUAACGUGACGGUACCUGGAGAAGAAGCACCGGCUAACUACGUGCCAGCAGCCGCGGUAAUACGUAGGGUGCGAGCGUUGUCCGGAAUUAUUGGGCGUAAAGAGCUUGUAGGCGGUYUGUCGCGUCUGCUGUGAAAGACCGGGGCUUAACUCCGGUUCUGCAGUGGGUACGGGCAGACUAGAGUGUGGUAGGGGAGACUGGAAUUCCUGGUGUAGCGGUGAAAUGCGCAGAUAUCAGGAGGAACACCGAUGGCGAAGGCAGGUCUCUGGGCCAUUACUGACGCUGAGAAGCGAAAGCAUGGGGAGCGAACAGGAUUAGAUACCCUGGUAGUCCAUGCCGUAAACGUUGGGCGCUAGGUGUGGGACUCAUUCCACGAGUUCCGUGCCGCAGCUAA